CUCCUCUCAGGGUCACACCUGGAGAGUUUCCAAUACUCUACCAGUCUCAGCUACGUUAGGGAAAGUCAAGCAGGGGCCUACCCAUUCCAUUCCUAGCUUAGGUAGUGGCUAGCAAGUGGAAGGCAAUCUGCUACAGGU